GACGAACCGAGCAAACGUUAUUCGGAAUUACUGGGCUUAAAGAGUCCGUAGGCGGCGCGUUAGGUGGGGUGUGAAAUCCCUCGGCUCAACCGAGGAAUUGCGCUCCAAACCGGCGUGCUUGAGGAAGGUAGAGGUGAGCGGAACUGAUGGUGGAGCGGUGAAAUGCGUUGAUAUCAUCAGGAACACCGGAGGCGAAGGCGGCUCACUGGGCCUUUUCUGACGCUGAGGGACGAAAGCCAGGGUAGCGAAC
rnacentral:rRNA from 1 species